UACGAAGGGGGCUAGCGUUGCUCGGAAUUACUGGGCGUAAAGCGCACGUAGGCGGUUUCUUAAGUCGGUGGUGAAAUCCUGGAGCUCAACUCCAGAACUGCCUUCGAUACUGGGAGUCUCGAGUCCGGGAGAGGUGAGUGGAACUGCGAGUGUAGAGGUGAAAUUCGUAGAUAUUCGCAAGAACACCAGUGGCGAAGGCGGCUCACUGGCCCGGUACUGACGCUGAGGUGCGAAAGCGUGGGGAGCAAACAGG
rnacentral:rRNA from 1 species